AUUGAACGCUGGCGGCAUGCUUUACACAUGCAAGUCGAACGGAAGCACGGGCUUCGGCCUGGUGGCGCGUGGCGAACGGGUGUGUAAUAUAUCGGAACGUACCCAGCAGAGGGGGAUAACGUAGCGAAAGUAACGCUAAUACCGCAUACGAUCUAUGGAUGAAAGCAGGGGACCGCUAGGCCUUGUGCUCCUGGAGCGGCCGAGAUCUGAUUAGCUAGUUGGUGAGGUAAAGGCUCACCAAGGCGACGAUCAGUAGCUGGUCUGAGAGGACGACCAGCCACACUGGAACUGAGACACGGUCCAGACUCCUACGGGAGGCAGCAGUGGGGAAUUUUGGACAAUGGGCGCAAGCCUGAUCCAGCAAUGCCGCGUGAGUGAAGAAGGCCUUCGGGUUGUAAAGCUCUUUUGUCAGGGAAGAAACGGUAGAGGCUAAUAUCCUCUGCUAAUGACGGUACCUGAAGAGUAAGCACCGGCUAACUACGUG
rnacentral:rRNA from 1 species